rnacentral:rRNA from 1 species
AUUGAACGCUGGCGGAAUGCUUUACACAUGUAAGUCGAACGGCAGCAUAGGUGCUUGCACCUGAUGGCGAGUGGCGAACGGGUGAGUAAUACAUCGGAACGUGCCCAGUCGUGGGGGAUAACGUAGCGAAAGUUACGCUAAUACCGCAUACGAUCUAAGGAUGAAAGCGGGGGACCGUAAGGCCUCGCGCGAUUGGAGCGGCCGAUGUCAGAUUAGGUAGUUGGUGAGGUAAAGGCUCACCAAGCCGAUGAUCUGUAGCUGGUCUGAGAGGACGAACAGCCACACUGGGACUGAGACACGGCCCAGACUCCUACGGGAGGCAGCAGUGGGGAAUUUUGGACAAUGGACGCAAGUCUGAUCCAGCCAUUCCGCGUGCAGGACGAAGGCCUUCGGGUUGUAAACUGCUUUUGUACGGAACGAAAAAGCUCUUACUAAUACUAGGAGUCCAUGACGGUACCGUAAGAAUAAGCACCGGCUAACUACGUGCCAGCAGCAGCCGCGG